rnacentral:rRNA from 1 species
UACGUAGGUGGCAAGCGUUGUCCGGAAUUAUUGGGCGUAAAGCGCGCGCAGGCGGUCCUUUAAGUCUGAUGUGAAAGCCCACGGCUCAACCCUGGAAUUGCAUUCAAGACUGCCUUGCUUGAAUUCGGUAGAGGUUGGUGGAAUUCCCAGUGUAGAGGUGAAAUUCGUAGAGAUUGGGAAGAACACCCGUGGCGAAGGCGGCCAACUGGACCGACAUUGACACUGAGGCGCGAAAGCGUGGGGAUCAAACAGG